AUGGUGAUGGAGUGCACAGCGACUCCAGCGUGCAGUGCAGUGGGUGUGUGCCCUCCUCAAGUACUCCUCGACUCCACGCCACCUUGUAGUAUGGGCGUCAGUGAAUUCUUCUUCGUCGAAGACAUGCAGCUCGUUGGCGAGUGGCUCGUGUGCGGCGGUGUUUCUCCUUGGGGCAUGGGCGUGGAGUACUUUUUUAUGAUAAUGUUGGGCGGCAUAGUUCACUUCAUCCAUGUUUUGCAUUUUUUGGAGAUUUUUUUUGAAGUGCACUCAGUUUGUGUAAAAAGAAUAUGUAUCACACUGAGUGGCCUAAGGAAGCAUUUCUUCCAGCGCAAUUCCAGGGCGUUCAAAAGGGGCACGUGGACGCGUCGCAAGAUACAGUCGGAGUGCGGCAUGCACGCGAUAUGGGCAGCAAAAAAGGUUCUGGUGCUACACACCAACAAGAACUUCGACCAGCAGAGGACCAACUGGGUGAUGCACCAGUACCACCUCGGGGACCUGGAGCAAGAGAAGGAGCGGGAGCUGGUCGACCAAGUUUCAACUGGGCUGUAG
rnacentral:rRNA from 1 species